rnacentral:lncRNA from 1 species
CACUCCCUAUGCUAGCUUAGCUGUUCUUUAUUGCAUAUCUAUAAUACCCUCCUCUGCCCCCUAAGGUGGAGGGUGAAUUUGAGUUUUCUGUUCAUCUGUUUUUUCAUUAGUCACAGAGGGUAUGCUGAUGUUGGCUGUUCACUUCUGUUCAUAUACUUUCUAUUUUCACGUACUCACUUUGCUGUGUAUGUUACCAACAAUAUG